rnacentral:rRNA from 1 species
GACGGAGGUGGCAAGCGUUGCUCGGAAUCACUGGGCUUAAAGGGUGCGUAGGUGGUCCAGCAAGCAUUCUGUGAAAGCCCUCGGCUCAACCGAGGAAUUGCAGGAUGAACUGUUGGACUUGAGGCGCGUAGGGGUCAGUAGAACUCUGGGUGGAGCGGUGAAAUGCGUAGAUAUCCAGGGGAAUGCCAGCGGCGAAGGCGACUGACUGGGCGCGUCCUGACGCUGAGGCACGAAAGCGUGGGGAGCAAACGGGAUUAGAUACCCCCGUA